rnacentral:ribozyme from 1 species
GAAGCACGAAAUGAACAAAGCCAAAGAGGAAAGAGAAACAGAACCAGGAACUGUGUGUGCUUUGUUUCUUCUUUGUUCACUUGGCUUAUUUCGUGCUUCACUCUCA